UGGGGAAUAUUGCGCAAUGGGCGGAAGCCUGACGCAGCGACGCCGCGUGGGGGAUGACGGCCUUCGGGUUGUAAACCUCUUUCAGCGCCGAAGAAGCGAGAGUGACGGUAGGCGCAGAAGAAGCACCGGCUAACUACGUGCCAGCAGCCGCGGUAAUACGUAGGGUGCAAGCGUUGUCCGGAAUUAUUGGGCGUAAAGAGCUCGUAGGCGGUUUGUCGCGUCGGAUGUGAAAGCCCGGGGCUUAACCCUGGGUCUGCAUUCGAUACGGGCAGACUAGAGUUCGGUAGGGGAGACUGGAAUUCCUGGUGUAGCGGUGAAAUGCGCAGAUAUCAGGAGGAACACCGGUGGCGAAGGCGGGUCUCUGGGCCGAUACUGACGCUGAGGAGCGAAAGCGUGGGGAGCGAACAGG
rnacentral:rRNA from 1 species